AGAACGAACGCUGGCGGCAGGCCUAAUACAUGCAAGUCGAGCGGGCGUAGCAAUACGUCAGCGGCGGACGGGUGAGUAACACGUGGGAACAUGCCCUUCGGUACGGAACAACUCAGGGAAACUUGAGCUAAUACCGUAUGAUCCGGCAACGGCAAAGAUUUAUCGCCGGAGGAUUGGCCCGCGUCCGAUUAGCUAGUUGGUGAGGUAACGGCCCACCAAGGCACCGAUCGGUAGCUGGUUUGAGAGAACGACCAGCCACACUGGGACUGAGACACGGCCCAGACUCCUACGGGAGGCAGCAGUAGGGAAUCUUGGACAAUGGGGGAAACCCUGAUCCAGCCAUGCCGCGUGAGUGAUGAAGGCCUUCGGGUUGUAAAACUCUUUCGACGGGACGAUAAUGACGGUACCCGUAGAAGAAGCUCCGGCUAACUUCGCGCCAGCAGCCGC
rnacentral:rRNA from 1 species